rnacentral:rRNA from 1 species
CAGUCGAACGCGUCUCCGUUGAUGAUUUCAGGUGCUUGCACCUGACAGAUUUAACAUUGAGACGAGUGGCGAACUGGUGAGUAACACGUGGGUAACCUGCCCUUGAAGUAGGGGAUAACACUUGGAAACAGGUGCUAAUACCGUAUAACAACCAAAACCACCUGGUUUUGGUUUAAAAGACGGCUUCGGCUGUCACUUUAGGAUGGACCCGCGGCGUAUUAGCUUGUUGGUAAGGUAACGGCUUACCAAGGCGAUGAUACGUAGCCGACCUGAGAGGGUAAUCGGCCACAUUGGGACUGAGACACGGCCCAAACUCCUACGGGAGGCAGCAGUAGGGAAUCUUCCACAAUGGACGAAAGUCUGAUGGAGCAACGCCGCGUGAGUGAUGAAGGGUUUCGGCUCGUAAAACUCUGUUGUUGGAGAAGAACAGGUGUCAGAGUAACUGUUGACAUCUUGACGGUAUCCAACCAGAAAGCCACGGCUAACUACGUGCCAGCAGCCGCGGUAAUACGUAGGUGGCAAGCGUUGUCCGGAUUUAUUGGGCGUAAAGCGAGCGCAGGCGGUUUUUUAGGUCUGAUGUGAAAGCCUUCGGCUUAACCGGAGAAGUGCAUCAGAAACCGGGAGACUUGAGUGCAGAAGAGGACAGUGGAACUCCAUGUGUAGCGGUGAAAUGCGUAGAUAUAUGGAAGAACACCAGUGGCGAAGGCGGCUGUCUGGUCUGUAACUGACGCUGAGGCUCGAAAGCAUGGGUAGCGAACAGGAUUAGAUAUCCUGGUAGUCCAUGCCGUACACGAUGAGUGCUA